rnacentral:rRNA from 1 species
UACAGAGGUCCCAAGCGUUGUUCGGAUUCACUGGGCGUAAAGGGUGCGUAGGUGGUUAGGUAAGUCCGGUGUGAAAUCUCCAGGCUCAACCUGGAAAUGGCAUUGGAUACUAUUUAGCUUGAGGAGUGGAGGGGGGACUGGAAUUCUCGGUGUAGCAGUGAAAUGCGUAGAUAUCGAGAGGAACACCAGUGGCGAAGGCGAGUCCCUGGACAGUUCCUGACACUGAGGCACGAAAGCUAGGGGAGCAAACAGG